AAGCUUGGUUACGGUGCCCAACUGCGCGCUAACCUAGAACCCACAAAGGGUGUUGGUCGAUUAAGACAGCAGGACGGUGGUCAUGGAAGUCGAAAUCCGCUAAGGAGUGUGUAACAACUCACCUGCCGAAUCAACUAGCCCUGAAAAUGGAUGGCACUGAAGCGCGCGACCCACAACAGGCCAUCUGGGUGAGCACCAUGCCCUGAUG
rnacentral:ncRNA from 1 species